AUUGAACGCUGGCGGCACGCCUAACACAUGCAAGUCGAGCGGCAGCGCGAUAUGUAGCAAUACAUAUUGGCGGCGAGCGGCGGACGGGUGAGGAACACGUAGGAACCUACCCUCGAGUGGGGGAUAACCAAGGGAAACUUUGGCUAAUACCGCAUGAUUUCGAGAGAGCAAAGCUGCCGCAAGGUGGCGCUCGAGGAGGGGCCUGCGUCCGAUUAGCUAGUUGGUGAGGUAAGAGCUCACCAAGGCGAUGAUCGGUAACUGGUCUGAGAGGACGACCAGUCACACUGGGACUGAGACAAGGCCCAGACUCCUACGGGAGGCAGCAGUGGGGAAUAUUGGACAAUGGGGGCAACCCUGAUCCAGCGAUGCCGCGUGAGUGAAGAAGGCCUUCGGGUCGUAAAGCUCUUUAGGUUGGGAAGAAGAGUGAUGGAGGAAAUGCUAUCACUUUGACGGUACCGGCAGAAUAAGCACCGGCAAACUCUGUGCCAGCAGCCGCCGUAA
rnacentral:rRNA from 1 species